GUUCAUUCACUCACUAUUUUUCAUUCAUUUCUUAUAUGCCAUGUAUUCGGUGCUAGGGACCCAUAAUACAGUGGACCCAUAAUUGACUGGAAGCAUCACUUUCAAAGCAUCAUUUCAGGAUGAGUAUUUCAUGUCAAGUGGAUUCAAGGAACAGUGUGAAGGAUCCAUGCCUCAGUCACCAUGAAGACCCUCCCAAGAGCCAGCCCCAGUGGGCACAUAUAAAUGAGUGGAGACAUGGAACUCACCCUUACAAGGCCUAGAACCUGACAGCACACACAAGACAGAAGCCCAAAUAACCAGGAACAGGAAGCUGAAGGUCCCCUUCUAGAUCCCUCAUGGGAAAUACACUCAGUUGCUGCCUAGGCCCCAGGGCUGGCCUCUGUUGUGCCUGCUGCAGGCAGAAGGUGGCACCUUGCUGUGAAUCUGAGACUGAGUCUGUGGCAGCUGCAGCACCAGCAUCCACCACUGCAGAGCCUGCCACCAACACAAAGAGGCGCAAAGGUAAAGAAGCCACGGGUGCCAUUUGCUCUCUGGCACAUCUCUGGCCACCACCUCCCCCACCUCCUUCCCAUCCCAUCACCCCAAAGACAUCCUCAGCUUCCAGCUCCCUCCUGCCUAUAGCCAGCUUUCCCAGGGCUGGGCAUGGGGGACAAAGGCUAGUCCUGCCUCUUGUCUUUGUUGUCGAGCCUUCUUGCUUGAGGCCUUUUUGGUCUAGUCUCUCCCUUUCCUCAAUGAAAAUUCAAAUACUCCAGUUUGGGAGCCUCCAUCCCAUCCUCUAGCCUGACCUAUCCAGCUAGUAUGGUACCUCAGUGAAGGAGGCGGUUAAAGGCCCAAUCGUUUCUUUUCUCCUAUUCGAUAAGGAAGCUAAUCAUUGGGAUAAUUCAGACUCAAAUAUUUGGAGACUUCUAAAAUUUAAAAUAGAGUUUGCCAUGGAAGAGAUUA